CUCAACCAUGGCUGCAUGUUGGAAUCACUUGGGAGAUGUAAAACCUACUGAUGUUUGGGUCCCACCCUAGAGAUGCUGAUAAACCCAGAUGGGGAAAUAGGUCUAGAAAGAUGAAGAGAUGUGUCCUCAACAUUUAGAAGUAAAAUUAGAACAUAGGGGAAGUUACCUGACAUGUCUGCGAGGACACUCAAGCAGCCUUAUGGAGAGGCCAUGUGGCGAAGGUCUGAGGCCUCCUGUCAACAGCUUGGUGAGGGCGCCAUCUUGGAAACAGAUCCUCCAGCUCCAGGCAAGCCCUCAGAUGACUGUAGUCCUGAUUGACAUCUUGAUUUCAACCUCAUGGGAAUCCCUGAGCCAGAGCCAUCCAGCUCAGUCACGCCUUAACUCCUGAUCCACAGAACUGGC
rnacentral:lncRNA from 1 species